UAUUAUUUAAAAUGUAAAUAUAAAUACUUAAGUAGUAAUAGUUAUGUUCUUGAAACUUAAAAAAUUUGGCGGUAUUUUAGUCUAUCCAGAGGAACCUGUUUUGUAAUCGAUAAUCCACGAUGGACCUUACUUAAAUUUGUUAUCAGUUUAUAUACCGUCGUUAUCAGAAUAUUUUAUAAGAAUUAUAAUAUUCAAUAAUUUUAAAAAGAAUUUAUAUCAGAUCAAGGUGUAGCUUAUAUUUAAGUAAUAAUGGGUUACAAUAAAUUUAUUUAAACGGAUAAAAUUAUGAAAAAAUUUUUGAAGGUGGAUUUGGUUGUAAAAUUAUAAAGAUUAAUAAUUUGAUUUUAGCUCUAAAAUAUGUACACAUCGCCCGUCGCUCUUAUUAUUAAGGUAAGAUAAGUCGUAACAUAGUAGAUGUACUGGAAAGUGUAUCUAGAAUGA
rnacentral:rRNA from 1 species